rnacentral:rRNA from 1 species
GAUGAACGCUGGCGGCGUGCCUAAUACAUGCAAGUCGAGCGAACAGACGAGGAGCUUGCUCCUCUGACGUUAGCGGCGGACGGGUGAGUAACACGUGGAUAACCUACCUAUAAGACUGGGAUAACUUCGGGAAACCGGAGCUAAUACCGGAUAAUAUAUUGAACCGCAUGGUUCAAUAGUGAAAGACGGUUUUGCUGUCACUUAUAGAUGGAUCCGCGCCGCAUUAGCUAGUUGGUAAGGUAACGGCUUACCAAGGCAACGAUGCGUAGCCGACCUGAGAGGGUGAUCGGCCACACUGGAACUGAGACACGGUCCAGACUCCUACGGGAGGCAGCAGUAGGGAAUCUUCCGCAAUGGGCGAAAGCCUGACGGAGCAACGCCGCGUGAGUGAUGAAGGUCGUCGGAUCGUAAAACUCUGUUAUUAGGGAAGAACAAAUGUGUAAGUAACUAUGCACGUCUUGACGGUACCGAAUCAGAAAGCCACGGCUAACUACGUG